GCGGCGGACGGGUGAGUAACGCGUGGGUAACCUGCCCUGUACACACGGAUAACAUACCGAAAGGUAUGCUAAUACGAGAUAAUAUACUUUUAUCGCAUGGUAGAAGUAUCAAAGCUUUUGCGGUACAGGAUGGACCCGCGUCUGAUUAGCUAGUUGGUAAGGUAACGGCUUACCAAGGCGACGAUCAGUAGCCGACCUGAGAGGGUGAUCGGCCACAUUGGAACUGAGACACGGUCCAAACUCCUACGGGAGGCAGCAGUGGGGAAUAUUGCACAAUGGGCGAAAGCCUGAUGCAGCAACGCCGCGUGAGCGAUGAAGGCCUUCGGGUCGUAAAGCUCUGUCCUCAAGGAAGAUAAUGACGGUAUUUGAGGAGGAAGCCCCGGCUAACUACGUGCCAGCAGCCGCGGUAAUACGUAGGGGGCUAGCGUUAUCCGGAAUUACUGGGCGUAAAGGGUGCGUAGGUGGUUUCUUAAGUCAGAGGUGAAAGGCUACGGCUCAACCGUAGUAAGCCUUUGAAACUGGGGAACUUGAGUGCAGGAGAGGAGAGUGGAAUUCCUAGUGUAGCGGUGAAAUGCGUAGAUAUUAGGAGGAACACCAGUUGCGAAGGCGGCUCUCUGGACUGUAACUGACACUGAGGCACGAAAGCGUGGGGAGCAAACAGGAUUAGAUACCCUGGUAGUCCACGCCGUAAACGAUGAGUACUAGCUGU
rnacentral:rRNA from 1 species